rnacentral:rRNA from 1 species
CACGGUAAACGAUGGAUGCCCGCUGUUUGCGAUAUACUGUGAGCGGCCAAGAGAAAUCGUUAAGCAUCCCACCUGGGGAGUACGCCGGCAACGGUGAAACUCAAAGGAAUUGACGGGGGCCCGCACAAGCGGAGGAACAUGUGGUUUAAUUCGAUGAUACGCGAGGAACCUUACCCGGGCUUGAACUGCAGCGGAAGGAUACAGAGAUGUUGACGUCCUUCGGGACCGCUGUGGAGGUGCUGCAUGGUUGUCGUCAGCUCGUGCCGUGAGGUGUCGGCUUAAGUGCCAUAACGAGCGCAACCCCUCUCCGUAGUUGCCAUCGGGUCGAGCCGGGCACUCUGCGGACACUGCCACCGUAAGGUGCGAGGAAGGUGGGGAUGACGUCAAAUCAGCACGGCCCUUACGUCCGGGGCUACACACGUGUUACAAUGGGUGGUACAGAGAGCCGGUCGGCGGCAAUGCCGAUCCAAUCCUAAAAGCCAUCCUCAGUUCGGAUUGGGGUCUGCAACCCGACC